UACAAAGGGGGCAAGCGUUAUUCGGAAUUACUGGGCGUAAAGCGUGCGUAGACGGUUACUCAAGUCGGGUGUGAAAGCCCCGGGCUCAACCUGGGAAUUGCAUUCGAGACUGCGUAGCUAGGGUGCGGAAGAGGGAAGUGGAAUUUCCGGUGUAGCGGUGAAAUGCGUAGAUAUCGGAAGGAACAUCAGUGGCGAAAGCGACUUCCUGGUCCAGCACCGACGUUCAGGCACGAAAGCGUGGGGAGCAAACAGG
rnacentral:rRNA from 1 species